UACGAAGGGGGCGAGCGUUGUUCGGAAUUACUGGGCGUAAAGCGUGCGCAGGCGGUUCGUUGUGUCGGCGGGGAAAGCCCCGGGCUUAACCUGGGAAUGGCCGUUGAAACUGGCGAACUGGAGUGUGGCAGAGGGGGGUGGAAUUCCGCGUGUAGCAGUGAAAUGCGUAGAGAUGCGGAGGAACACCGAUGGCGAAGGCAGCCCCCUGGGCUAACACUGACGCUCAGGCACGAAAGCGUGGGGAGCAAACAGG
rnacentral:rRNA from 1 species